rnacentral:rRNA from 1 species
UACGGAGGGUGCAAGCGUUAUCCGGAUUCACUGGGUUUAAAGGGUGCGUAGGCGGGCAGGUAAGUCCGUGGUGAAAUCUCUGAGCUUAACUCAGAAACUGCCAUGGAUACUAUUUGUCUUGAAUGUUGUGGAGGUAAGCGGAAUAUGUCAUGUAGCGGUGAAAUGCUUAGAUAUGACAUAGAACACCGAUUGCGGAGGCAGCUUACUACACAAAUAUUGACGCUGAGGCACGAAAGCGUGGGGAUCAAACAGG